GACAGAGGGUGCAAACGUUGCUCGGAAUUACUGGGCGUAAAGCGCGUGUAGGCGGGAAGAUAAGUCGGGUGUGAAAUCCCUGGGCUCAACCUAGGAACUGCAUCCGAAACUGCCUUUCUGGAGUGAUGGAGAGGAAAGCGGAAUUCCCGGUGUAGAGGUGAAAUUCGUAGAUAUCGGGAGGAACACCAGUGGCGAAGGCGGCUUUCUGGCCAUCAACUGACGCUGAGACGCGAAAGCGUGGGGAGCAAAC
rnacentral:rRNA from 1 species